GCAAUAUAGUAUGAUGAUUGUUAAUUAGAAAUAUAAAAUUUUUAAACUCUAAUUUGUUAAAAAUGGUAUGUGCUUGAAGAUUGGAGCUCGAAGAACAUAAGAUUUGCCUGGGCACAUAUUAAGUUGAAGAACUGAUCAUCAGUUAGAAGCUGAUACUUGAAAAGAUAAGUUUUUUAUUGUUGUGCCAAAUAUAACUUAUUUAAUUUUCUUAAUUUGUUCAUUAUCUCAAUUUCUAUUUCUCUGUCAGUACUUCUACCUCAUCUUUACCAAACAGUAAUUUUGAAGUAACUCCACCAUGCAACUUAAUAAAAUUAAAGAUUAGCUACUAACCCUGUCAUGAAAUUAUUUAGAGUUGAGGUAGAGGUACGGACCUAGGAAAUAGAAAUUGAGACAGCCAACAAAAUAUAGU
rnacentral:lncRNA from 1 species